AUGGUGCCCCUCCUCCCUGGUGAAUUUGAUCGAGCGGACGGUCUCUACUCCCCUCCGUGCGAGCGGGUGAACGGGCCCAUCGUCCUCAGUGCCGCGCCGGCGGGCAUCGUCGUGGCCGGCAUGCUCCGGGAGCAGGGCGUGCCCUUUGUCGGCUUGCGCGAUGGCAACUGCAUCGCCUCCCUCUGGCAGAGGCGCGUUUACGACCGCCUCCGACUGCACCUCCCCAAGCGGUUCUGCCACCGCCGCCAGCUUACCGAGCACCUCGACAUCGAGCAGGAGCUCCGCGGCGGGAGAUCGGCGGCACCGUGCAGGCGGGCCUCUGGCCCGUGCCCCUCGCCGUGGCCAGCUCCUCGGGGGCCGGCCGGUCGCUCGUCGUCGCGGCCGCCGCGUGCCGGACGUCCCUGGUCAGGCAAGCUGCGGGGACGCGGUGACCGAGAUCCACGCCAGCGAGCGCCGGCCCGGCGAUCGAGCCGCCCGGGGUAA
rnacentral:rRNA from 1 species